rnacentral:rRNA from 1 species
CGCGUAGGCGGUUUUUUAAGUUUACAGAUGUGUAAUCCCCGACGCUUAACUUUGGGAACGUGCAUCUGAGACUGGAAGGCUAGAGUACUGGAGAGGGUGGUGGAAUUCCUCGUGUAGCGGUGAAAUGCGUAGAGAUGAGGAGGAACACCAGUGGCGAAGGCGGCCACCUGGACAGUAACUGACGCUGAGGCGCGAAAGUGUGGGUAGCAAACAGGAUUAGAUACCCUGGUAGUCCACGCUGUAAACGAUGAACACUUGGUGUGGAGGGAGUUGACCCCUUCCGUGCCGGAGCUAACGCGUUAAGUGUUCCGCCUGGGGAGUACGGUCGCAAGGCUGAAA